AGGGUUAGGGUUAGGGUUAGGGGUUAGGGGUUAGGGUUAGGGUUAGAGGGUUAGGGUUAGGUUUCUAGUUUUGAGUCGGUUGAUCCACUUCCAUCUCUGACACGUGGAAACCGGAGGGGGGAAGGGAGGGGUUGCACUCCACAUCAUAUACGCGCGGGUCGGAGGGUACGGGCGCGGCCGGCCAAAGUUGUAGGCCCCAUGGUUGCCCACUUGUAGAUUAACCCGUUGGUUGGGUUAAAGGACUGUCUGUCUGUAGGGUUAGGGUUAGGUAUGGUUUUAGAAUGGUUAAGGUUAGGGUUAGGGUUAGGGUAAGGUAUAGAAAAGGUUAAGUUUAGGUAGGUCUGUCAACUCAACUUAGGAUCAGGCAAAGCCCUUGAGUUGCGUCCCUUAUGCAGGUCCGGUCCUCGGUUGGUUGCCAUGUGUCCAUGUCGAGUGGUAUGGUCAUGAUGUCCAGGUCCGCUAUGUCAACGGAGGUGGAAAGCAUAGUGCAACCUAGGAGUUUUUACUCUCUUUCGGAUCCUUCUU
ensembl:lncRNA